CCCUUGAGAGGAAUGAAUCUGGAAGUUGCAAAAAUCGUCUGCACCUGAUGGAUUUACAAUGACAUUUGGUUUCCUGGGUUA
rnacentral:sRNA from 1 species